UAAUUUUUUCCUAAUUGGGUGCAGCUCUGGAGAAGCUUUUGGAGAAACAUGCUGGGAAAUAUGCUACAGAAGGUGAAGCUUUCUUGGCUGAUUUGUAUUUGGCACCACAGAUUGAUGGUGCAGUUAGAAGGUUCAGUGUUGAUAUGAACGAGUUCCCUCUUUUGUCAAAGUUAAAUGAGGCAUACAAAGAACUCCCUGCUUUUCAAGAUGCAAUGCCUGGGAAGCAGCCUGAUACGCCACCUGAGGCGAGGGACUGAUGCAAUCAGAUCCAAAUUCGACAGAUAAUGAAUGUAUGCUUUCAUGCCCAACAAGAGUUGUUGCUGUCUAAUUCAAUGAGAGGAGCUCUAUUUUGAAUUAAUUGUUGUAUCUUGUAUAGCUUGUUAGGCUGUUUGUCUGUGCAAAUAGGAGAAGCCACUUAUUACAUGACUUUUUCAAAAGCAUAUUCACUCACAUGUGUCACCAACAGGCAACAGGUGACUCAUUUAUAAGCUUCAUUCCCUUCUUCAUUCCCUCGGACUAUAUUCAACUAUACGGUAUAUAUGUAACGUUGUGAGAGAGAGCAGAGUUGAAAUAUCUCUUUCAUAUUUCUUUUAUUUAAGAAGCUCGGGUUGGCUAUGUUUUGCAGGUGAACUCGCUCGUGUUGGUGCAGGUUCAUUAUUGUGAUUGAGUUUAUCAUCUUGGCGGAUCAAGUAGAUGGGAGUCGAUGAGCUAUGAGGACUACUACAAACGAGAAGGCUGAAGCAGAGAACGUCGUUUCAAAUGUCUAGCAAGUUGCGCGCAUUUGUAAUAUUUUUUAAUUAAACAUCUAGCUAAAUAGAAUAUAUGUGAAGUUUUCAUUAUAUUUGGAUGAUAAUGUAUGAAUAUUUUGGAUGAUAUAUAAUAUUGUUAUUGUUGAUUUUA